CGUCCUCAAUCUGCUGUGGACAGAUCCAGUGAAUAUGCGCGUCGAUGCCGCCAGCGGUGAGGAUGCGUCCUUCCCCGGCGAUGGCUUCGGUGCCUGGACCGACAAUGAUAUCCACCCCCGGCUGAAUAUCCGGGUUGCCCGCCUUGCCGAUGGCGACGAUGCGUCCGUCGCGAAUCCCCACAUCGGCUUUGACCACGCCCCAGUGGUCCAGAAUCAGCGCGUUGGUGAUCACCGUGUCCACGGCGCCAUCAGCGCGGCUGGCCUGGGAUUGCCCCAUGCCGUCGCGCAG
rnacentral:sRNA from 1 species